CCCUUAGAUGUCCUGGGCCGCACGCGCGCUACACUGACAUGUUCAACAAGCCUCCUAGUUCGACAGGAUUUGGGAAAUCUUUGAACGCAUGUCGUGAUAGGGAUAGAUCAUUGCAAUUAUUGAUCUUGAACGAGGAAUUCCUAGUAAACGCGAGUCAUCAGCUCGCAUUGAUUACGUCCCUGCCCUUUGUACACACCGCCCGUCGCACCUACCGAUUGAAUGUUUCGGUGAAGAUUCCGGAUAGGACUUUUUUGACUUAUUUCAAUUUUGUCUUAAAAGCUAUCUAAACCUCAACAUUUAGAGGAAGGUGAAGUCGUAACA
rnacentral:rRNA from 1 species